rnacentral:rRNA from 1 species
UGGGGAAUUUUGGACAAUGGGGGAAACCCUGAUCCAGCCAUCCCGCGUGUGCGAUGAAGGCCUUCGGGUUGUAAAGCACUAUUGGCAGGAAAGAAACGUCAUGGGUUAAUACCCCGUGAAACUGACGGUACCUGCAGAAUAAGCACCGGCUAACUACGUGCCAGCAGCCGCGGUAAUACGUAGGGUGCAAGCGUUAAUCGGAAUUACUGGGCGUAAAGCGUGCGCAGGCGGUUCGGAAAGAAAGAUGUGAAAUCCCAGAGCUCAACUUUGGAACUGCAUUUUUAACUACCGGGCUAGAGUGUGUCAGAGGGAGGUGGAAUUCCGCGUGUAGCAGUGAAAUGCGUAGAUAUGCGGAGGAACACCGAUGGCGAAGGCAGCCUCCUGGGAUAACACUGACGCUCAUGCACGAAAGCGUGGGGAGCAAACAGG